rnacentral:rRNA from 1 species
GAUGAACGCUGGCGGCGUGCCUAAUACAUGCAAGUCGAGCGAACAGACGAGGAGCUUGCUCCUCUGACGUUAGCGGCGGACGGGUGAGUAACACGUGGAUAACCUACCUAUAAGACUGGGAUAACUUCGGGAAACCGGAGCUAAUACCGGAUAAUAUAUUGAACCGCAUGGUUCAAUAGUGAAAGACGGUUUUGCUGUCACUUAUAGAUGGAUCCGCGCCGCAUUAGCUAGUUGGUAAGGUAACAGCUUACCAAGGCAACGAUGCGUAGCCGACCUGAGAGGGUGAUCGGCCACACUAGAACUGAGACACGGUCCAGACUCCUACGGGAGGCAGCAGUAGGGAAUCUUCCGCAAUGGGCGAAAGCCUGACGGAGCAACGCCGCGUGAGUGAUGAAGGUCUUCGGAUCGUAAAACUCUGUUAUUAGGGAAGAACAAAUGUGUAAGUAACUAUGCACGUCUUGACGGUACCUAAUCAGAAAGCCACGGCUAACUACGUG